AAAAUAAACUUAGAUUUGUAAAUAUCUUUUUCUUUUAUAUACUCAUUAUUAUCUUUAAGAAUGGAGAGAUUUCUGUUCUUUCUUUAAGUAUGUGUUUCUUGGAGUGAUGUUUUACAGGAAGCAACAAGUAUUCUAAAAUUGGGAGCAGAUACUAGAUGGUCUGCAGCAAGA